UCUUCUCCACACAAACCCGAGCGGUCAACUCAUAACGUUGUGACAAAUGUAGAGAAAACACAAACAGGUUUUGUUUGGUUUUGUUUUUUCUAAUUGGAUGUACUCCUUCUGUUCGUGAGGACUAGAACAAGGUGAAGCAGAGGAUUAAGAAAACGACAGCAACGAGGGGAUUUGGAACGAUACAAGGACACAUUUCUUCUCUAUAAAUACGAUGGUGAUGUUUGUUUGAUUCGACACCAGCCUGGAGAUUUGAAUAAGAAUGACAGUCCUUGUGAAGAAGGUGCAGCAGUUGCUCUCCAUCCUGCUGCCGUGUGUACUCCAGCUCUGCUGCGCUCAGACUCAAGGAGUGACCAUUUGUGAUGGCACCAAGAACUCUCUGAGUACAACUGGAAAUUCAGAGAUCCAGUACAACUUGAUGAAGACGAGGUACAAUAACUGCGACAUUGUGAUGGGCAACCUCGAGAUUACCAUGAUGGACCACACCAGAGACUUCAGCUUUCUGGAGUCUAUCAAGGAGGUGACAGGGUACAUCCUUUUUGCUGUCAAUGAGUUCAGCCGCCUCCCACUGGACCACCUGCGCAUCAUCAGAGGCAGCACACUGUAUGAGGACCAGUAUGCCUUGGCUGUCAUGGUCAACUAUCAGAGGGAUGGAGAGCAUGGCCUUCAAGAACUGGGCCUGACUCACCUCACAGAGAUCUUCAGGGGAGGAGUGAAGAUCAUCCAGAAUAAGUAUCUGAGCUACGCCCCGCAGGUGAACUGGCUGGACAUAGUGAAGGAUGGAUCAGCCCAAAUUAUGAUAGAGGACAAUGGGCCUGAAAAGCCUUGUCACAAAGCCUGUGGAGACGUGCCAUGCUGGGGCCCAGGAAAUGACACAUGCCAGAUCUUGACAAAGACCGUGUGCGCCCCUCAGUGUAGUGGCCGCUGCUUUGGUAGAAACCCGAGCGAGUGCUGCCACGUUGAGUGUGCUGGAGGUUGCACUGGGCCCAAGGAUACAGACUGCUUUGCCUGCAGGAACUUCAACAACUCAGGCUCCUGCGUGCCUCAGUGCCCACAGACUGUGAUCUACAACAAGCUUACAUACAGAAUGGAGCCCAACCCCAAUGCCAAGUACCAGUACGGCUCUAUUUGUGUGACCCAAUGCCCCAUAGAAAACUUUGUGGUGGAUGGCAGUUCAUGUGUGAGCAACUGCCCAUCUAAUAAAAUGGAAGUGGAGAAAAAUGGUGUGAAAACAUGUGAGCCCUGCAAAGGCCUCUGCCCUAAAGUUUGCCAUGGCACAAGCUGGACUGAUUCAAACAGGGAAACGGUCGAUGCUCGCAACAUAGAAAGUUUCAUAAACUGCACUAAGAUCCAGGGAAGUCUUAACUUCCUGGUGACGGGAAUAGAAGGUGAUCCCUUCAACGACGUACCACCCCUUGAUCCAGAAAAACUGAAAAUCUUCAACACGGUGGAGGAGAUUACAGACUUCCUCAAUAUCCAGUCGUGGCCUGCAAGCAUGUCUGACCUGUCAGUCUUCUCCAACCUCCAAACAAUUCGGGGAAGAAAACGUUACAAAGGAGUGAUUAGUAAAAGGAGCUAUGCACUCCUGGUGGUUAAGAUCAAUUCUCUGACCUCGCUGGGGUUGCGCUCGCUGCAAAACAUAAAUAAUGGUGCCGUGUACAUUAAAGGAAACAAGAAUCUCUGCUAUCAUGAUACUGUCAACUGGACACGGCUCUUAGGCUCCCGUCCACAGAAACGUUCAAAGCUCUUAGACGUCACCGACAACCAAAAGAAGGAUGAAUGUGUUAAAGAAAAUCAUGUGUGUCACCCGCUGUGCUCCUCUGAUGGCUGCUGGGGUCCGGGCCCAGACCAGUGUGUCAGCUGUAAGAAAUACAGCAGGGGAGGAACCUGUGUACCAGACUGCAUGUUCUUAACUGGGAAGCAGAGGGAGUUUGCUACUAAGUCAGGGGAGUGUCUGCCCUGUCACCCUGAGUGUAAGGUCCAGGAAGGGAAGGAGACGUGCACAGGCCCGGGAGCAAAUAAAUGUCUAGCUUGUGCCAGCCUGAAGGAUGGCCCACACUGUGUCUCCAUGUGUCCUGAGGGUGUUAGGGAGGCAGGAGGGAACCAUCUUUAAAUAUCCAGACAAGCGGGGCAACUGUAAACCUUGCCACAACAACUGUAUCUAGAGUUUGCAGAAAUUCACAAACCACCAACUUUCCGAACAGCAGACGGGAUUGCGGCUUCGCCACUGAUACCAGCAGAAUCCGCAGAUUUCUGUCAAUGAAACGUUUCCUUUGUGCCAUACAUGGGUACUGCUGCCACUCAUACACCAGUAACAGUGCAACACGCUGUGCAUCCGCCCUACCAACUUAUCAGCACGUAUCCAGCAUCUGUCGUAACCAUGAGUUAGAUCCUUUGGUUUUUGUGGCCUUAUAUUCCCAUUGAUUUCCUCUCACCGGGUUUGGCUUCAUAUUUACCAGUAAAGAAUGAUUUAUUCCUUUAUGCCCUCUAAUGGCAGGUUUCGCACCACAGCUCACUAUGGUAAGGCAAAGAUUUCGUCUAUAAUGUCUUCUUUUGAUUUUUGCCCGUAUACUUGAUUCAUAUUUGGUGGUAGAUUUCUUCAGUUCUCUUUGGGGUUUAAAGAAACUUUGAUGUAGACUGUGUCUGUGAAACAAUCAGUGCAGAGAAAAAAAUGAUUCUGAUGAUUCAUUCUGUACCGUUAUAGUUACACAAGUAGAUUUAAAAAAAUGUUGAAGACCAUGUUUCAAUGCUGAAUGCAUGGAGACAUCUGUAUGUGAUGUAAGAAACCAAAAUCCUGCUGUAUUACGAAUAAACCCAUUUUCUGAA